GUGUGUGAAAAUACCAACACUAACACACUAGAUCUUGUCAAAACUUCGUAGUUACGCAUGUUUGAAUGAGAUUAGUAUUAAGUUGAGUGACCAAUUGAGAAGUUCUCACGUCUCAACCC
rnacentral:rRNA from 2 species